CGAACGCUGGCGGCGUGCUUAACACAUGCAAGUCGAACGGAAAGGCCCUGCUUUUGUGGGGUGCUCGAGUGGCGAACGGGUGAGUAACACGUGAGUAACCUGCCCUUGACUUUGGGAUAACUUCAGGAAACUGGGGCUAAUACCGGAUAGGAGCUCCUGCUGCAUGGUGGGGGUUGGAAAGUUUCGGCGGUUGGGGAUGGACUCGCGGCUUAUCAGCUUGUUGGUGGGGUAGUGGCUUACCAAGGCUUUGACGGGUAGCCGGCCUGAGAGGGUGACCGGCCACAUUGGGACUGAGAUACGGCCCAGACUCCUACGGGAGGCAGCAGUGGGGAAUAUUGCACAAUGGGCGGAAGCCUGAUGCAGCAACGCCGCGUGCGGGAUGACGGCCUUCGGGUUGUAAACCGCUUUCGCCUGUUACGAAGCGUGAGUGACGGUAAUGGGUAAAGAAGCACCGGCUAACUACGUG
rnacentral:rRNA from 1 species